GUGCCCUGGGCCAAAGGCAGGCGCCAAACCGCUGAGCCACCCAGGGAUCCCCAAAUUAUCCCUCCUCAAAAUACUGGAUAGAAGAUAAUGAUGGAUCUGUGGUCAUGUUUGCCUUCUCUGAGCUAGAGUCUAAUGGGAAGCAGAAUAUGUAGAGUGCUUUCUAGCUCGCUGGCCCAUAUGGACACACAAGGAGUUUCAGGCCACCUGGUAGCUACCACAAUUGCAGAGCUGGUACCUGAAAAGAUGCUCCGCAAGAGGGGCAGCAUCACUUUUUUCCUGCAUUUUGAACAAAGAGUCCUGCAUUCUUCUUUUCCACCAUGCCCUGAUCAACCCUCUGAGUUCUAAAGAACCACCUUCUGAGAUUCAUCUACCAGAAUAGAAGGUGGCAAGGAAAAUUCUACUUCUGCAUUGGCCAUAACCUUUCAAAAGGAGCAACAGAGGAAGGAGACAGAAGAGAAUGUGGAAGAGAAGAUGAAGAAACAGACAAUGACAAAAUGAGAAGGAGAGGAAAAAAACAUGAGAUAGAUGGAAUAGGAUUGGCAAAAUGAUGAACUGAGAAGUAUCCUCUCAGGCUGACAGGAGUGCUCUACACUGAAGAGAUACAAAGGAGUUGAUGGGAAGGAUAAUUCGCCCAUGAGUUCCUGACACAAUAUAAAGAAGAAAAAGAGAAAGUGGGAGGAAGAGAUCGCUAUUGUUAUUCCCCUAACCCUUCCUUCUAAUUAUGCCAGAGUCAAGGCUCGGGUCACAAAGAAAAUGAUUUUGGUGGUCAACCAUUUGCCCUAUUUUGUCUACAUCAAAAAAAGCCCUUGUUCUUACCACAUUCCAAUCUCACAGUUUCCCACCUACUUUAAAAAUAUAUCAAGAGGCCAGAUUAACAAAAAUAUGAAUAAAAUGACUAGAUCACAAGGAACGCUUUGUUUGUAAACUGAGAGAUGGCCUUCUUGUGAUGCUGAAUUGUAUGAUGUGUAACACUUUAAAAGUUAAAUACACUUUAUAUUAUUGUAAGUAUUUCUGAUAAAUGUUCAACAUACCCAGCUUUUAAAAGUUGAAUGUAAAUUUCUCUCUUGACUGCAGAUGGUGGCCAAGCAAAGUAGCUCUUUGGUCUUACAGACAGAAGGUCAGGUCAUGGCUGAAAGACCAAAGAACAAUUGCUGCUUUGCUCCUCCAGAUCAUCCAUGGAAUGAGACACUACCACUUUCUUUUCUGAAACUGUCUGUUCAAUACAAAAUAGUUACAAAGAGUACCUAUAAGAUUUCCUCACAUUCUGUCCAAGAGAAAAUGAUAACAAGCACAUCACAUCACAAACAUCUUGUAAUCAUUCUGAGGGUUUAUUUCUAACCUCCUAAGAAGGCACAUCUUUAUCUAAAACAACACUAGAAAUCAUUAUGAAAACUGCUAAUGUUUCACUAUUUAGCAGGAAAUGUUUACAAAUGAAAACAGCUCCUUUUAAAAUCCUGUAACUUCAGAUCAUUACUGGUUAAUUGCAAUGAGCUAUAUCUCUGAAAGACAAAUAUUGCAAAUACUUCUACACAUUAUUUACAAGUGAUAUGAUAAUCUUACUAUUCCAACAGUGUUUUUCUUCCUAGAACAUUAUCUUCUAAUUUUAAAUAACUCACUCUUCCUAUUUUUUUUCCAGUUAGUCCAAGUCGGUAUAUUGGGCAGAUACUAUAGAAUAAUACAAAAGUAUAUAACAAUGCUAGGUAGCAUACCAAGAUGAUACUUUUUUUUUUUUUUAAGUCAUAAUAUAUCAGGAAAGGAAAGGAAAGUUCUAUUUGGUUUGGUAGUGCUAAACCUUUAGUCGCGAUAGAGAGAAUUUACAAUUCCACUAUCAGGCACGCCCCCAACUGGAUGCAAUAAAAGAGUUUAAAUAUCUGUAUGUGUUAAUAAUGAAAAUUCUGAAAAUUAAAACUCCUAACACUCUGAAU